rnacentral:rRNA from 1 species
GUGCCAGCGGCCGCGGUAAUACGUAGGGGGCGAGCGUUAUCCGGAUUUAUUGGGCGUAAAGCGUGUGUAGGCGGUUUAUUAAGUCUAAGAUUAAAGCCUGAGGCUUAACCUCAGUUCGUUUUAGAAACUGGUAGACUUGAGUGUGGUAGAGGCAAGUGGAAUUUCUAGUGUAGCGGUUAAAUGCGUAGAUAUUAGAAGGAACACCAGUGGCGAAGGCGGCUUGCUGGGCCAUUACUGACGCUGAGACACGAAAGCGUGGGGAGCAAAUAGGAUUAGAUACCCUAGUAGUCCACGCUGUAAACGAUGAGUACUAAGUGUCGGGAAACCGGUGCUGAAGCUAACGUAUUAAGUACUCCGCCUGAGUAGUACGGUCGCAAGGCUGGAAACUCAAAGGAAUUGACGGGCACCCGCACAAGCGGUGGAGCAUGCUGUUUAAAUUCGAAGAUACGCGAAGAACCUUACCUAGGCUUGACAUCCCUGGCGACGCUAUAGAGAUAUAGUGGAGGUUAUCCAGGUGACAGGUGGUGCAUGGUUGUCGUCAGCUCGUGUCGUGAGAUGUUCGGUUAAGUCCGAUAACGAGCGCAACCCUUGAUUAUCAGUUACUAACAUUUAGUUGAGUUCUCUGAUGAGACUGCCGGUAAUAAACCGGAGGAAGGUGGGGAUGACGUCAAAUCAUCAUGCCCCUUACGUCUAGGGCUACAAGGCGUGCUACAAUGGCCGAUACGAAGAAAGAUGCAAUGAUCGUGAGGCGGAGCAAAUGUCGAAAAUCGGUCCCAGUUCGGAUUGGAGUCUGCAACUCGACUCCAUGAAGUUGGAAUCGCUAGUAAUCCUGAAUCAGAAUGUCAGGGAGAAUACGGAGCCGGGGGCACACACCGGCGGU